UGCCUACGGGAGGCAGCAGUAAGGAAUAUUGCGCAAUGGGCGAAAGCCUGACGCAGCGACGCCGCGUGGGGGAUGAAGGUCUUCGGAUUGUAAACCCCUUUCGGGAGGGAAGAUGGAGCGAGCAAUCGUUCGGACGGUACCUCCAGAAGCAGCCACGGCUAACUUCGUGCCAGCAGCCGCGGUAAUACGAAGGUGGCAAGCGUUGUUCGGAUUUACUGGGCGUACAGGGAGCGUAGGCGGUUCGGUAAGCCCUCUGUGAAAUCUCCAGGCUUAACCUGGAACAGUCGGAGGGGACUGCCGGGCUAGAGGACGGGAGAGGAGCGCGGAAUUCCCGGUGUAGCGGUGAAAUGCGUAGAGAUCGGGAGGAAGGCCGGUGGCGAAGGCGUCGCUCUGGAACGUUUCUGACGCUGAGGCUCGAAAGCGUGGGGAGCAAACAGGAUUAGAUACCCUGGUAGUCCACGCCUUAAACUAUGAACACUAAGUGUCGGCGGGUUACCGCCGGUGCCGCAGCUAACGCAUUAAGUAUUACGCCUGGGAAGUA
rnacentral:rRNA from 1 species